rnacentral:tRNA from 1 species
GGGGUUGUGGCUCAGUGGUAGAGUGCUUGCCUAGCAUGCAUGAGGCACUAGGUUCUAUCCCCAGCACCA